CCCAAGGCCACUUUAUAACAUGUUCCCCUGGGGGGUAGGCCUACAGCGAGGACAAGGGUAAGAUAUGGUCCUGACCAACAGUUGGCAACAGUCCUUCAGUGGUCAACGGGUGAUCUCGGCUUGUGUUGACAGGUUGCUUCUGGGUUAACGCAGUGGAGGCUGUUGCUCCUGGACUCUUGCUGCUGGGACACGUCUCAUGUUGAGAGCCGGGCUCCUGUCUCAUCAGUGGAUUCUUUACCAACUAAGCUACCAGGGAAGCCCUGAAUGAUUUCAAAAGGUGGCGAGCUGCGGUUCAUGGGGUUGCAAAGAGUCGGACACGACUGAGCGACUGAACUGAACUGAAGAAUCCCAUGGACAGAGGUGCCUCGGUGGGCUAUAACCCAUGGAGUUGCAAAGAGUUGAACACAACUGAGCAACUAGCAAAAAAAAGAAACACCUUCAAGGGAAAACAGUGUGGAAAUGUUAGAAAUACGAUCACCUGGGAAAUCAGCACUAACUCCAGGAGGCUCCUGUUCAGAUGUGAGCGUGCCUGCCUCCCACACUGAACACUCUACUGGUCAUUCUCACCUGGACAGCAAUUCAUUUCUCAGGUAACUAGCUGCCACAUUGAAAAAGGAGAAAAGUGUCUUGGGGCAGGGUUUUCUGGACAGUGACAGCUGAAGAGAAGAAAUCGAGGUCCGGUGUACUCUGUGGAGCAGUGAGAUCAGGGAGUUACCCAGAAAAUGCAGUGGAGUGGAAUCCGGCCCGAGAGCGGCAACUCUUGAGCCCGCAUUCCUAGAGCGCGUGCUCCACACCAAGAGAAGCCACUGAAGUGAGAAGCCCUCACACCACCGCGAGAGAGCAGGCCCUGCUUGUCACAGCUACAGACAGACUGCACGCAGCUAGACCCAGCACAGCCAACAAUAAACAAACAACAAAUUAAUUUUUUAAAGAGUCCUUACUGAAGCAGUAAAAUAUCUAUAU
ensembl:lncRNA